GCUCAUUACAACAGCCGUUGUUUCUUGGAUCUCCUCUUUUACUUGGAUAACUGUGGUAAUUCUAGAGCUAAUACACGCAAUCAAGCCCCGACCUCACGGAAGGAGCGCAUUUAUUAGAACAAGGCCAAUCGGCUUCGGCCGUCAGUCUGGCGAAUCUGAAUAACUCAGCUGAUCGCACUGGUCUUCGUACCGGCGACGCAUCUUUCAAGUGUCUGCCUUAUCAACUUUCGAUGGUAGUUUACGUGCCUACCAUGGUUGCAACGGGUAACGGAGAAUAAGGGUUCGACUCCGGAGAGGGAGCCUGAGAAACGGCUACCACUUCUAAGGAAGGCAGCAGGCGCGCAAAUUACCCACUCUCAGCACGAGGAGGUAGUGACGAAAAAUAACGAGACGGCUCUCUUUGAGGGCCGUCAUCGGAAUGAGUACAAUCCAAACCCUUUAACGAGGAUCUAGCGGAGGGCAAGUCUGGUGCCAGCAGCCGCGGUAAUUCCAGCUCCGCAGGUGUAUAUCUAUGCUGCUGCGGUUAAAAAGCUCGUAGUUGGAUCUGCGUGCCCAGUAGGCGGUCCACGCUAACCGCGUGCGAACUGCUCUACGGCACUUUACUGUUGGUUUUCUGUCGGUGCCCUUAACCGGGUGUCGACUAGUGGCUAGCGAGUUUACUUUGAAAAAAUUAGAGUGCUCAAAACAGGCGUCUCGCCUGUAUACUGUUGCAUGGAAUAAUAGAAUAGGACCUCGGUUCUAUUUUGUUGGCUUUCGGAACAGGAGGUAAUGAUUAAGAGGGACAGACGGGGGCAUUCGUAUUGCGACGUUAGAGGUGAAA
rnacentral:rRNA from 2 species